UAGGGAAUCUUCGGCAAUGGGGGGAACCCUGACCGAGCAACGCCGCGUGAGUGAAGAAGGUUUUCGGAUCGUAAAGCUCUGUUGUUAAGGAAGAACGAGUGUGAGAAUGGAAAGUUCAUACUGUGACGGUACUUAACCAGAAAGGGACGGCUAACUACGUGCCAGCAGCCGCGGUAAUACGUAGGUCCCGAGCGUUGUCCGGAUUUAUUGGGCGUAAAGCGAGCGCAGGCGGUCAAUUAAGUCUGAUGUGAAAGCCCCCGGCUCAACCUGGGAGGGUCAUUGGAAACUGGUUGACUUGAGUGCAGAAGAGGAGAGUGGAAUUCCAUGUGUAGCGGUGAAAUGCGUAGAUAUAUGGAGGAACACCAGUGGCGAAGGCGACUCUCUGGUCUGUAACUGACGCUGAGGCUCGAAAGCGUGGGUAGCAAACAGG
rnacentral:rRNA from 1 species